rnacentral:rRNA from 1 species
GGUUUGAUUCUGGCUCAGAUUGAACGCUGGCGGGAUGCUUUGCUGAUCGAACGGCAGCACGGACUUCACCGGUCUGGUGGCGAGUGGCGAACGGGUGAGUAAUGUAUCCCGGAACGUGCCUAGUAGCGGGGAUAACUACGCGGCAUGGCGCUGGUACUGCCGCCCUUCCCGAGAGAAAGCGGGGGACCUUCGGGCCUCGCACUAUUGAACGGCCGAUAUCGGAUUAGCUAGUCGGUGAGGUAACGGCUCACCAAGGCGACGAUCCGUAGCUGGUUUGAGAGGACGACCAGCCACACUGGGACUGGGCAGGCUUCGAACCUCCACAGGGAGGGCAGCAGUGAGAAUUUUGGACAAUGGGGAAACCUGAUCCAGCCAUCCCGCGUGUGCGAUGAAGGCCUGGGUUGUGGCUUCUUUGGCAGGAAAGAAACGGCACGGGAUAAUACCCCAUGCAACUAAUGGUACCUGCAGAAUGACACCAGCAACUACAUUGCCAGCAGCGAUAAUGCAUGGAACACCAAGCGUUAAUCAGAUUACUGGGCUAAAGCGUGCAGGCGGUUCGGAAGAAGAUGUGAAAUCCCCAGAGCUUUAACUUGGAGCUGCAUUUUAACUACCGAGCUAGAGUGUGUCAGAGGAGGUGGAAUUCCGCGUGUAGCAGUGAAAUGCGUAGAUGAAAUGCGAACACCGAUGGCGAAGGCAGCCUCCUGGGAUAACACUGACGCUCAUGCACCGAAAGCGUGGGAGCAAACGGGAUUGAAUGCCCUGGUGGUCUGCGCCUAAACGAUGUGCUCAACUAGCUGUUGGGGCCUUCGGCCUUGGUAGCGCAGCUAACGCUGCGUGAAGUUGACCGCCUGGGAAGUACGGUGCGCAGAUUAAACUCGGAAUUGACGGGGACCCGCACAAACGGUGGAUGAUGUGGAUUAAUUCGAUGCAACGCGAAAAACCUUACCUACCCUUGACAUGUCUGGAAUCCAGAGAGAUUUUGGGGUAUGUCGCAAGAGAACCGGAACACGGGUGCUGCAUAGCUCGACAGCUCAUUGUCGUGAGAUGUUGGGUUAAGUCCGCAACGAGCGCAGCCCUUGUCAUUAGUUGCUACGAAAGGGCGCUCUAAUGGGACUGCCGGUGAUGACGGAGGAGACAGGAUGACGUCAGAAUCCUCGUGGCCCUUAUGGGUAGGCUGCACGUCAUACAAUGGUCAGGACAGGGGUCCGCUUCAACCCGCGAGGGAACCGUCCCAGAAACUGAUCGUGAAUCCCACGGAUCAGUCUGCAACUCGACUGCGUGAAGUCGGAAUCAUGGCUAAUCGCGGAUCAGCAUGUCGCGGUGAAUACGUUCCCGGGUCUUGUACACACCGCCCGUCACACCAUGGGAGUGGGUUUUACCAAGUAGUUAGCCUAACCGGCGGAGGCGAUUACACCGGUAAGUUUAUGGCGGGGUGCCAAGUCGUAACAAAGGUAG